GGAUCUUUAGCUCAAAUGGUAGAGCCCUUGAGAAUGGGAAUCUCAAGCGAUGGUGGUUCAAAUCCUUCAAGAUCCU